GAAAGUGAGACCGAUUCAGCUGAAGCUCUGAAUAGAGUUCAUCGCAUUUUGACUUUGAUCAAUUCCUGGAGUCCAUCCAUGUGCGUCUUGCAGUUUGCUGAUUGAUCUUCAGGUAUCUCAACGAGACGUUCGUUAUAUUGUGCAGACAGCGGAGCCUCUCAGAAUUGCUUUGUUGCAACCAGGUUAGCUAGCAACUAGUAAACUCUCAGUAACAAAAUGUAGAAUAUUGAUAACUCACAAGUAUUUGCAACAAACUGAUCCCAAUGUUCAAACCCAAAUAGAUAAUAAACUCACGACUGUUGAAAAAUUCGGUACAUGCAAUUCCAAAUUGGCUAGUGCACGGAUUUAGGUCCCGUCACCUGAAACGGCCGGAUUGCCGUCGAUCGACCGCCAGAAAACUCACGGCUUUGGGAGUGCGAUCCGCCGCCGUCGCCACGCGUGGGACGUCGCCGCCGCCGCCACUAUUGGACUCAGCGUGGUCAAAACCAUCAGACCGAAGCUUCCCGUCGCCGUCGGUUGACUUUCUGUUGCCGUUGACCGGCAAGGGCAUUUCGGUAAUUUCGUACAUCGAGGGUAAUUUCGUAAAUUCUGAAUUAAGGUUAUUUUCAUAAUUUGGAAUGAGGGUAGUUUUGUAAUUUGGUCAUCUAAGCUGUUGGGGGUAUUUAAAAUGUUGUUUGGAGCUAUUUUGCGUAACAAUUGUUAUAUGCUAAUUACGGAAAUUAAUUAUGUCGUUUAUUUAACUUAGGUGGAAUCACGAACGAGAAGUAAUCUGCGGAUGUUGACAAUAUCGAAUUUGAGCAUUAUCACUGUGAGUGAAAUAUAUAAAACUCAUUUUCAUAACUUAUUAUAAUAGUAAAACAUGUUUGUGAAAUAAGUAAGGGAAAUUAUCAGUCAUAUACCCUUAAAUGACACCAGUAUCAAACGCGCUACAACACUUUUUGUUUAUAUCACUCGUAUACCCUAAGUUGACAAAAGAGUUAUGGCGUCCACCUUUCCGUUUACUACCGUUAAGAACUUAACCGAAUUUGAGCAAAAUGAUUAUUUUACCUUUUAAACUCAAAAUGAGGUAAAAAAAUUAAUUUACCUUGAAAAUUAAUGUGAAUUUUCAAUACACAAUUUUUAUUUUUUUAAUUAAAAAAUAUGAAUUAUUAAUGGUACAUAUUAUUGACAAUUAUCCAUAAAAAAAUAUUCAUCUUAUACUAUAAAAAAUUAUUAACAACAUAUUAUUUAUAAUUAUACAUAUUAUACCAUAAAAAAUUCAAGUCUGAGCUUGGAGGAGUAGAUUUUCAAUAAUUUAGGUUAAAUUUUAGAGGAGUAUAUUCGGUUGUAAAGUAGUUUUUUUUAGCAAUUAUUAAUAAUUAUCUGAUAAAUGAGAUGACAUGUCAUUUUUAUCAAAAUAUAUCAUAUGACAUGUCGUUUUUUACUAGGUAAAUGGGAUGACAUGUCGUUUUAAAAAAAAAAACUAGAUUACCCUUAUGAUGUCAGCGCUCGCAAACGGCAGUUAACGGAUCGGUGGACGGCAGAAGUGUUUUGUUAACUUAGGGUAUACGAGUGAUACACUUGAAAAGUGUUGUAGCACGUUUGAUACUGGUGUCAUUUAAGGGUAUAUGGCUGAUAAUUUCCCAAUAAGUAAUUUAAAUACUCGGAUUUAAUGAUUUUCUCGAGAUAAAUUUUAUUUACGUAUUGAUAUGUUAUUAAAAAGUGUUUGUUAAUGAUUUUCUAUAUCGAUUUUGAAUAACACAUGAUAGUAUUUUAAAGACAAGAAAAGUGAAUUUAAAUGUUUUAAUAAAAAAAAGUAUGAUUAAUGUGCUCUGAUACCAAUUAUUGCGGAAACGCGGGUUGAACAAUUACUAAUAUUAUGGUGAUUGCGAUUUCUGAGGAAAUAUAAAUGUGACAAAUAAAUGUAAAAUAUGACACAAUAAUUUACGUGGUUCGACGUAAAGCUUACGUCCACAGAUAAAGACUGAAAGAUAAUUUUACUAAUAAAUGUGAAUUUACAAAAUUAAGAAAAACUCUCAAAACCCAAAAUUUCAAUACACUCAAUGGAUCCUCUUUAAAACACUAAAGUAGAAGCUCUCUCAAAUAUCUUAAAUUACUUCACUUGUAAUUGCUCUCAACUUUCUCAAUUGGGAUACAUUUGAAACUCUUCAUCUCCUCUCUAUUUAUAGGAAAAAAUAGGUGUAUUAUUGCACUAACUCCAACAAUUUUGUCAACAAAAAUUAGGUGCCUAACUUAGUAACUAAUUUUGAAUGCAUGCAUUAGUCAAUUUUGAAUUCAUAUAUUGAAUUUUUCAACAAUUCUCUACUUCGACAAAAAAUUGUUUAAAUCUGAAUCGACUAUCGACAUACUCUCCUCCAGUCUAUGCCUUCUUCGACUGCUUUCAAACUUAUAGGAUAUUGAUAAAGUUUGGACAAUACUUAAACUUGAUCGCUGUCACUACCUUGGUCAACAUAUUUACGAGAUUCUCUACAGUCUUGAUUUUCUAUAGAAGAAUCUUUCCCUUAGCUAUAUUUUCUCGCACAAAAUGAAAUCGUACGUUGAUAUGUACGUGCAUGAUAAACUUAGUUCUUUGUUAAGUGAAUAGCAAUUUGACUGUCGCAAUACACAUUAAUAUGCUCCUGUACAAAUCCCAAGUUUUCAAGUAUUACAUUAAUGAUAAACUUAGUUCUUUGUUAAGUGAAUAACAAUUUGACUGUCGCAAUACAUAUUAAUGUGCUCUUGUACCAAUCCCAAGUUUUCAAGUAUUACAUUAAUGUGCAUGUUUUUGGUAAUCCUGCUACUGAUUAUGAUUCUUUACAUGUUUUUGAUUCCACUGCUUAUUAUCAUGUAAACGAGUCUAAGUUAGACUUGAGAGUAAAGAAAACAUUGUUCAUGGGUAUAACUGGUGGAGUAAAAGGAUACCGUCUUUGGUGUCCAGUUACAAAGAAGAUUAUUUUCAGCAAAUAUAUGACUUUUGAUGAAUCGGCCAUGCUGAAACAAAAUAUUCACAAAAGGAUGACAAAACCAGUGGUACUUUUCAGCAUGUAGAGUUUGAAAAGGUUAAAAAUGAUUCAAUUGGAAUCGGUGAGACAAAUAAUAAUUCUCCAUUGACCAAAGAUGAUAAAGAGUUUUUGACUUAAGAACCUUUAUAGCAACAAGAUUCAAUUGCAUAUAGAAGGUCACACAGAGGAUUUGUAAGCUUGCAUACUUUGUUGAUAUGGUGGCCUAUGCACUUUCAGUUGUAGAUGAUGAUGUUCAUUCCACUUACAAAGAAGCAGUAAGUAGUCCUGAAAGUAGAUAAUGGAAGCUAGCAAUUGAUAAAGAAAUGCAGUCUCUUCAUAAAAAUGAAACUUAGGAGUUGGUUACACUGCUUAAGGAAUAUAAGGCAAUUUAGUGCAAAUGGGUAUAUGCGAAAGAAAGAUUUCCUCAUACAAAUGAAAUUUGAUAUAAGACUAGAUUGAUAGAGAGAGGUUACACUCAGGAAGAAAGAAUAGACUACAAUGAAGUAUUUUCUCCAGUUGUGAAACACUCAUCUAUUCAAAUUUUACUAGCUAUAGUUGCACAAUUUGAUCUUAAACUAGUUCAUCUUGAUGUAAAAACUGCAUUUUUACAUAGGGAUUUGGAAGAAAAAAAUCUACAUGACUCAACCAAAUGGAUUCAAGUUUGUUGGAAUAGAAAAUUGGAUUUGCAAAUUGACAAAGUCGCUGUAUGGAUUGAAAUAAUCUCUGAAGCAGUGGUAUAAGUUAGGGGUGGCAAAGUGAGUAAACAAAUCGAAUUCGAAUCGAAUCAUAAACGAGUUGGGUCAAAAUUCUACUGAUUCGAAUUCGAUUCGUUUAUUAAACGAAUUGAAAUAUCAGAAUUUGGAUUCGAUUCGUUUAUUAAAUUAAUAUUCAGUUCGAUUCGUUUAAUUCGUUUAGUAGAAUUAAUAAACGAACUAAAUCGAAUACAUAUUUGUUUAUUAUUUAUUUAUCCUAUUACGAAUUCAUUACGAAUCGAAUUGAAUUAUGAUUUGUUUAUAAUUCGUUUAGAAAAAUAUAAUUAAUUGACAAAAUUAAGCAAAAUAAAAUAUAAAAAAGCCACAAAUUUAAUAUCCUACGACAAAAUACAAACAACUCAAACCAUAUUUUAGGAUUAAAUAUAUAGUCAUCCAAAUACCAAAUUAUAAAUCCUUAAUAAUAUAAAUAACUUACAAAUUUUAAAAAAAUUUCAAAUAAAUUUAAUGAAAAAAAGUAAUUUAAUUAAACGAAUAAUAAACGAAUUUAAAACAAAUCAACCUGUAUUCAAUUCGUUUAUGACAUUUUUAUUAAACGAAUCCUAAACGAAUAAACAAAUUGAUAUCUUCAAACCUGGAUUCAAUUUGUUUAAUUAGUGAAUCAAAUUGAAUUCACCAUUUUAUUAAACGAAUCAAUUUUUUCAAAUCCAAACCCAUUUAAUUCGCAUCGAGUCGAAUCAAAUAUACGAAUUCUAACCCAUAUUACCACCCCUAGUAUAAGCGAUUUGAUUAGUUUAUGAAAAUGCAAAGGUACAAGAGAAAUAAAAUUGAUCAUUGUGUGUAUUUUCAUAAGCUACAAGAGGAAUCAUUCAUAUAUUUGCUCUUGUAUGUUGAUGAUAUACUAAAGCAUCCAAGGAUAAAAAUGAGAUUGAGAAGUUAAAGACAAGACUCAAUCAAGAAUUUGAGAUAAAAGAUCUAAGUGAAGUUAAAAAGAUUCUUAGCAUGGAGAUAUGCAAAGAUAGAGCUCGUGGCAAAAUCAGCUUGUUUCAGAAGCAAUAUUUAAAGAAGAUACUACAACAGUUUGACAUGACUGAGCAGACAAAAUCUGUCAGUGCUCUGCUUCUCAUUUCAGGCUUUCUGCACAAUUGUCUCCUUCAACAGAUGCAGAACGAUAAUAUAUGUUACAAGUUCCGUAUUCAAAAGCAGUGGGUGGCUUAAUGUAUGUAAUGGCGUGAACAAGGCCUGACAUUUCACAUGCAAUUAGUAUAGUGAGCAGGUAUAUGCAUAAUCUUGGUAAAGGACUUGUCAAGCUGUGAAAUGGAUUUUGUGGUACAUUUAGAAGAUUGUAGAUGUUGGUUUACUGUUUGAGCGAGAUGAUACACUUGGUCAAGGUGUGAUUGAGUACAUCAAUUUUGAUUAUGUUGGUGAUUUGGACAAAUGGCGAUCAACCACUUUAUAUGUAUUUACUUUUUCUAGAGGACCAAUCAGUUGGAAGUCUAUACUACACUCUACAGUUGCACCGUCGACCACAUAGGUUGAGUACAUGGCAAUUACAGAGGCUAUUAAAAAUGCUAUUUGGUUAUAAGGCUUGCUUGAAAACUUGGGAUUGGUACAAGAGCACAUUAAUGUGUAUUGCGACAGUCAAAGUGCUAUUCACUUAACAAAGAACCAAUUUUAUCAUGCACAUACCAAAUAUAUCAACAUACGAUUUUACUUUGUGCGGGAAAUUAUAGAUAAGGGGAAAAUUCUUUUAUAGAAAAUUAAAACUGCAGAGAAUGUUGCAGAUAUGUUGACCAAGGUAGUGAUGACGAUUAAGUUUGAGCAUUGUCUAAACUUGAUCAAUAUAUUAUAAGUUUGAAAGCAGUCGGAGAAGGCAGAGAUUGUAAGAUAGUUUGUCGAUAGUCAACUUAGAUUUGAACAAAUUUUUGUCGAGGUAGAGAAUUAUUGAAAAAUUCAGUACAUGAAUUCAAAAUUGGCUAAUGCAUACAAUUGACAAACAUUUAUUCAAAUUGAAAAAAAAAAUUACAUGCAUGCAUUCAAAAUUAGUUGCUAAGUUAAGCAUCUAAUUUUUGUUGACAAGAUUUUUGGAGUUGGUGCAAUAAUAAUGCACUUAUUUUUUCCUAUAAAUAGAGAGGAUAUGAGCUUCAAAUGUAUCCCAAUUGAGAGCGUUGAGAGCAAUUGCAAGUGAAAUAAUUUGAGAGAUUUAAAAGAGCUUCUACUUGAGUGCUCUAGUGAGGAUUCAUUUAGGUGUAUUGAGCUUUGGGUUUUGAGAGUUUUUUUCAAUUUUAUAAAUUCUCAUUUGUUAGAAAAAUUAUCUUCCAUUCUUUGUCAGUGGGCUUAGGUUUUAUGUUAAAUCACGUAAAUUAUUAUGUUUUAUUUUUUACAUUUAUAUUUCUUCAGAAUUCACAAUCACCAUAAUAUUGGUAAUUACUCAAUCCGCACCUCUGUAAGAACAACUAGUGGAAAAGGAUCCCUACAAAAUAAAUCAUAGGAAAGAGGAAACUGAUAACCAACUUACAAUACUAUUUGUACCCUCUGUAUCACAUAUAGUCCAUCCUUUUUAGUAUCAGUCUUCUCUCCAUUUUCCUUCAUCUGAAUAACAUGAAACAAAGGCCCCAAAAUUUCGGAAUCAAAUAAAACAUAUAAUACCUAUGCAAAGAAACUGCGUGAGACCGGUGACAUUAAAUUGAAAGAUAGCCAGUCUAGAUCAAGGAUUUUUAUGACUUGUUUCAUUUAUUUAUUUUCCAAAGGGAAGCAAACGGCGUACAGUUUCUUUUGGGAUGGUCAGUAUAAAUAUUUACCUCAUCUUUUAGCAACCAUUGCUAGGGGUAUCUGCGGAUCGGAUUUUGCAGAUUGAAUAUCAAUUGGUAGUGUCGUUAAGGUGCACCAAAUUUAAAACCUUACCACUAAUAUAAAUAAUUAGUACAAAGCGAGUAAGGAUCGAUCCCACAGAGACUAUGCUAGUUAUAUUUUUUUAUCAACUCUAAAGCAAGAUUUAAAAUAAAAUAAUAGUAGUAAUAAUAGAAAUUAAUCUAACUAAAGAAAAUACCAAUUAUAAAUAAAAAUGGGGUUUAUGAAUUUUUAACUAAAUAUUAAGAAAUAAAGAAAUUAAAACUACGAACAAGAAUUUAAUAAAAACUCUAGUUAAAGAAAAAAGAAAUAAUGAUGAUGAAAACUUUGGUUAAAGGAUCAUUCGCCACCACCAAACAUGCACAUAAUAUAUUAAUUCUAUCAUCAAUUUAUAUUGAAACUAUCAACCGUAGACAACAAUAAGCUCUGUUAGUCUCAAUCUUUCCUUAGUGUGUCGUUAGGCAAAACAAGCUCUUCACCUAAUCUCUAACCAUUAAAUAAUUUAAAACAAGCUUUUUAAAUUUAAGAUAAUGGAAGCAUUAAACAAAGAAAGAUAUUAGGUUGAUCUAGACAAUAAACACACAAGCUCGGAUUAUUUAACCUAGGUUAUGUUCUCCAAUUGAAAUCACUGAUUCCAACCUGCUACUAAUGAUUAAAAUAUCAAGACAAUUACGGAUCAAGAAUUUUAAUCUAGCAAUAGAAUUUAUUCAAGUCCUAUCUAAUUGGCCACUCAAAUAAAACAAGAAUAAACCAUGAAUAUUAAUUAUAAAAGAACAUAAACAAUCUCAAUUAAAUAAAUUGAAAGAUAGAAUUUAAAUUUAAUUGCAUAGCAUGUUUAGGGUUUUGAAUUCACCCUCAACCAAAUAAAAAUUUAGCCUAACAUAAUUGAAUUGAGAAGAAGAGAAUUGACAAAACCAAUCAUGGAGAUUAAUUCAAGCGGCUGCUGAUUUUUCUCUUCUCCUUGCGCCUGUUGAUUUUUUUCUCUGCCCGAAUUGCGUCUGCCCCCCUCUUUUCUUUCUCUGGCAGCUCUCCUUUUAUAAUGCUAGUUGACCGAAUUCUUCUCCAACAAGUCUAAAGAAAUCAUUUUUCAAUUCUAAUUGAAAUCCUUUUCCAAUUUGAACUUUUAUUCCUUUUCAAUUUGAACUUCUUCAUGUCCUUUUUAUCCACAAUCUCCAAUUAAUUCCAUAUUCAAUAAAAUAAUACAAUUAAUUAAAAAUAAUAAAUAAAAAUAACUAGCAAAUAUAUAAUAAAGGGUAAAAUAUGUAUAUUAAUUAAUUCCCUAUUCAAUUAAAAAUUAACUAAAAUAACUAGAAUGUUUCAGAUCAAAACAAGAAAAAGAUGGAGAAAUUAAUAACAAAAUAUAUGAAAAAUAUGCACUUAUCAUCAAUCCAUAUCCAAUCCAAUAUUUUGAGGAUUGGUUUGCAGGCUAAAAAUUUUAAAUCAUGUCCUAUCCACGAAUUAACUAACUAAAAAAAUUUAAUAUAAAAAUAAUUUUACUACUGAUUAAAUUCAAAAUUAAAUAAGAUUUAAAUAAAUUAGUUAUUUAAAUAAAACUAAAAAAUACAUUCAAAGUUUAAAAAUAUAACACACUAAAAGGAAAAAAAAUCUCAUUUAUGUAGAUCAGUACAUGAAAAUUAACUACGUAGGAAGCUAUAUUUUUUAUUUAAUUAAUUUUAUUUUAUAUUAUUAUCGGAUAAGCUAUAAUAUAGUGUUAAUAUAACAAUAUUUUAACUUAUUUAUUUUUUAGUAAGUAUAAUGUCAUAUUUACAAGUUUAAUUUUUAUUAAAUGAAUAAUUUUUAUUCUUUUUACGGAUCCGUAGAUUUUUACGGAUUUAUAGAAGUAAAUCCAUUUCCAAUCCACUGACUGCGGAUUUUUAAAAUUUCAAUCCAAUCCACGGAUAAUAUUUUUAUGGAUCUGAUUUCAACGGAUCAGACGGAUUGAACGGAUUGGAUUGGAUUUUGAACAUCCCUAGCCAUUGCUUCACAAAACUCAGGAACUUUCACAGCUUAACCAAAUGUAUUUGGUUCACUUGUGGAAGAUACAGCUAAAAGAAAAGAUUUAUGUGUAGCAAGAAAUUUAUCAUAACAAACAUUAUAAGAAAAAGGAUAUGGCUUACCAGUUUACUUAGAAGAAAAGACAGUAGAUGAAGGUUCAUGGGAAGUUGAUGAACAAUGAUAAUCUUGAAGGUAAGUUGGAGGGCAAUGAUCAUGUUGAGG
rnacentral:lncRNA from 1 species